UACGGAGGGAGCAAGCGUUGCUCGGAAUCACUGGGCGUAAAGCGUACGCAGGCGGCUCGAUAAGUCGGGUGUGAAAGCCCGGGGCUCAACCCCGGAAUUGCGCCCGAUACUGCCGAGCUUGAGUACGGGAGAGGGAUAGCGGAAUUCCUGGUGUAGAGGUGAAAUUCGUAGAUAUCAGGAGGAACACCAGUGGCGAAAGCGCCUUCCUGGCCCGAUACUGACGCUCAUGUACGAAAGCGUGGGGAGCAAACAGG
rnacentral:rRNA from 1 species